rnacentral:rRNA from 1 species
AUUGAACGCUGGCGGCAGGCCUAACACAUGCAAGUCGAACGAGUGGCGGACGGGUGAGUAAUGUCUAGGAAACUGCCUGAUGGAGGGGGAUAACUACUGGAAACGGUAGCUAAUACCGCAUACCAUCGGAUGUGCCCAGAUGGGAUUCACUAGUAGGUGGGGUAAAGGCUCACCUAGGCGACGCUCCCUAGCUGGUCUGAGAGGAUGACCAGCCACACUGGAACUAAGACACGGUCCAGACUCCUACGGGAGGCAGCAGUGGGGAAUAUUGCACAAUUGGCGCAAGCCGGAUUCAGCCAUGCCGCGUGUAUGAAGAAGGCCUUAGGGUUGUAAAGUACUUUCAGCGGGGAGGCGUUACCCGCAGAAGAAGCACCGGCUAACUCCGUGCCAGCAGCCGCGGUAAUAC